UUUGAGAUAUACUGUAUGUGCUGCGCCGCCAUUCGUAAUGUCAAAAAGUUCGUCAAGCUUCGUGUGUGAUGAAAGGCGACAAGAAAAGCAAGCAGCCGCAAAUUUUACAGCUUGUAAUUUGUGUAUUUUCAAGCUUGUACAACAGCAUUUAAACUCGGUGGUAGAGUUCCGCCCGCUCCAUCAAAUACAGAGAAAGACGCCGUCCAAUAUUGUUCCUGCCUCGCGGUCGUGCACUACCGUCAGCACUGCACUAGCCGCAACAUGCGCCCCUUGUCCCACAUUUCCAUAAUCUGUGGUGGUCAACAGCUGUACGACGGCCGCCUACAGCCACCGGGAUAGCCUCGCUCUCUAGUGCGAUACUGAUGAACCUGCGGCGCAAGAGCACGCAAGCGUUUGGUGGCGGCGGCUGUGGAAUGAUGGUGCACCUCGGUAAAUAUGGUGCACGAGAAGAAUUCUUCCCGCAAAAGGCAUCCGUUUGGGCACUGAAAUCGAACGACGCCUACGGAGACAGUAACAACAACAACCAUCCGGACAGGAGACGGAUCUCAGUCGGUUGUAUGAAAACAGCAAGGUGCACUAGAUCGUGAAACACUGGCCGUCCAGUACGACACAGGCCUUAUCAGCAGAAGGCAUGGAAAUGCCGCGUACAAUGAGGCCGCACCGUGACGCCCCGCGCUGUAGCCCUCUUUUACGCACCGAAGUUAAGCAGUUCCAUCGGGAUGUCUUCACCGCGCCGGAUCAUUUGCGGGACGAUAGCGACAAAUGUCCCGCCGUAGGAUCCAACCAAUAUGGUGGAUAAUUAAUACAAAAAAUACAAAUUUCAUUAAUUUAAUUCAUAAAAAAUGAAAA